GAUCCUGGCUCAGGAUGAACGCUAGCUACAGGCUUAACACAUGCAAGUCGAGGGGGAACGACAUCGAAAGCUUGCUUUUGAUGGGCGUCGACCGGCGCACGGGUGAGUAACGCGUAUCCAACCUGCCCACCACUUGGGGAUAACCUUGCGAAAGUAAGACUAAUACCCAAUGAUAUCUCUAGAAGACAUCUGAAAGAGAUUAAAGAUUUAUCGGUGAUGGAUGGGGAUGCGUCUGAUUAG
rnacentral:rRNA from 1 species